UAGGGAAUCUUCGGCAAUGGACGGAAGUCUGACCGAGCAACGCCGCGUGAGUGAAGAAGGUUUUCGGAUCGUAAAGCUCUGUUGUUAGAGAAGAACGUUGGUAGGAGUGGGAAAUCUACCAAGUGACGGUAACUAACCAGAAAGGGACGGCUAACUACGUGCCAGCAGCCGCGGUAAUACGUAGGUCCCGAGCGUUGUCCGGAUUUAUUGGGCGUAAAGCGAGCGCAGGCGGUUCUUUAAGUCUGAAGUUAAAGGCAGUGGCUUAACCAUUGUACGCUUUGGAAACUGGAGGACUUGAGUGCAGAAGGGGAGGGUGGAAUUCCAUGUGUAGCGGUGAAAUGCGUAGAUAUAUGGAGGAACACCGGUGGCGAAAGCGGCUCUCUGGUCUGUAACUGACGCUGAGGCUCGAAAGCGUGGGGAGCAAACAGG
rnacentral:rRNA from 1 species